rnacentral:rRNA from 1 species
UAGUCAUAUGCUUGUCUCAAAGAUUAAGCCAUGCAUGUCUAAGUACAAGCCUCACUAAGGUGAAACCGCGAAUGGCUCAUUAAAUCACACCUAAUCUACUGGAUAGUUAACAGUUACUUGGAUAACUGCGGUAAUUCUGGAGCUAAUACACGCACAAAGCCCCGAACUUACGUGAGGGGCGCUUUUAUUAGAUCAAAACCAAACGGCUUCGGCUGUAUCCUUGGUGAUUCUGAAUAACUUUGGGCUGAUCGCAUGGCCUAGCGCCGGCGACAUAUCCUUCGAAGGUGUGCCCUAUCAACUGUCGACUGUGGCAUAGACGCCCACAGUGGUUUUGACGGGUAACGGGGAAUCAGGGUUCGAUUCCGGAGAGGGAGCCUUAAAAACGGCUACCACAUCUAAGGAAGGCAGCAGGCACGCAAAUUACCCAAUGACCGAAGGUCGAGGUAGUGACAAAAAAUAACGAUACGGGACUCAUCUGAGGCCCCGUAAUCGGAAUGAGUACACUUUAAAACCGUCCCCGAGGAUCUAUUA